GGAUGAUGCUAUUGUAUAAAUUAUUUAGGUCAAUGUACACUAUAGAAAAGAAAUAAUCAACAAAUAUUAAAGGAGAAUAAUGGACUUAAGAGGUGUGCUGACUCAUUUCAAACUGCUGUGAAGAGAAGAAAAACAUGCAUGUGUCAGUUUGGUUUUGGUUCAGAGAAGUGCUGCCUAGGGAAUCAUAGGUAUAAUCACUUUUACCUAUGGCUGGAGAAGACAGCAGCAGCAGACAAUUCUGGUUUUCAGUAGUUCUCAUUUGG